CGCGAAGAACCUUACCUGGUCUUGACAUCCACAGAAGAAUCCAGAGAUGGAUUUGUGCCUUCGGGAACUGUGAGACAGGUGCUGCAUGGCUGUCGUCAGCUCGUGUUGUGAAAUGUUGGGUUAAGUCCCGCAACGAGCGCAACCCUUAUCCUUUGUUGCCAGCGAUUAGGUCGGGAACUCAAAGGAGACUGCCAGUGAUAAACUGGAGGAAGGUGGGGAUGACGUCAAGUCAUCAUGGCCCUUACGACCAGGGCUACACACGUGCUACAAUGGCGCAUACAAAGAGAAGCGACCUCGCGAGAGCAAGCGGACCUCAUAAAGUGCGUCGUAGUCCGGAUUGGAGUCUGCAACUCGACUCCAUGAAGUCGGAAUCGCUAGUAAUCGUGGAUCAGAAUGCCACGGUGAAUACGUUCCCGGGCCUUGUACACACCGCCCGUCACACCAUGGGAGUGGGUUGCAAAAGAAGUAGGUAGCUUAACCUUCGGGAGGGC
rnacentral:rRNA from 1 species